UACGGAGGGGGUUAGCGUUGUUCGGAAUUACUGGGCGUAAAGCGCACGUAGGCGGCUUGGUAAGUUGGGGGUGAAAUCCCGGGGCUCAACCUCGGAAUUGCCUUCAAAACUGCUUGGCUUGAGUUCGGAAGAGGUGAGUGGAAUUCCCAGUGUAGAGGUGAAAUUCGUAGAGAUUGGGAAGAACACCAGUGGCGAAGGCGGCUCACUGGUCCGAUACUGACGCUGAGGUGCGAAAGCGUGGGGAGCAAACAGG
rnacentral:rRNA from 1 species